UACGUAGGGGGCAAGCGUUGUCCGGAAUCAUUGGGCGUAAAGAGCGCGCAGGCGGUCAUUCAAGUCAGAUGUGAAAUAUCCGGGCUUAACCCGGAGGGGUCAUUUGAAACUGGGUGACUAGAGUACAGCAGAGGAUAGCGGAAUUCCCGGUGUAGUGGUGAAAUGCGUAGAUAUCGGGAGGAACACCAGUGGCGAAGGCGGCUAUCUGGGCUGACACUGACGCUGAGGCGCGAAGGCUAGGGGAGCAAACAGG
rnacentral:rRNA from 1 species